GCGAACGGGUGCGUAACACGUGGAUAAUCUACUCUAAAGAUGGGGAUAACCUGUGGAAGCAGAGGCUAAUACCGAAUAAUCUAUAUCAAGAUGUUGAUCUAGGAAAGAUGCCUUCAAGCAUCGCUUAAGAAUGAGUCCGCGGCUGAUUAGCUUGUUGGUGGGGUAAGAGCUCACCAAGGCGACGAUCAGUAGCCGGCCUGAGAGGGUGAACGGCCACACUGGGACUGAGACACGGCCCAGACUCCUACGGGGGGCAGCAGUUAAGAAUCUUCCGCAAUGGGCGAAAGCCUGACGGAGCGACGUCGCGUGGGUGAAGAAGGCCGAGAGGUUGUAAAGCCCUUUUAUAGGUGAGGAAUAAGGCGAGAGGAAAUGCUCGUUGAUGACGUUAGCCUAUGAAUAAGCCCCGGCUAAUUACGUGCCAGCAGCCGCGGUAAUACGUAUGGGGCGAGCGUUGUUCGGAAUUAUUGGGCGUAAAGAGCACGCAGGCGGAUGAAUAAGUCCGGUGUGAAAUCUGACAGCUUAACUGUCAAACUGCACUGGAAACUGUACAUCUUGAAUCGUAAGGGGGAAACUGGAAUUCUUAGUGUAGGGGUGGAAUCUGUAGAUAUUAAGAAGAACAUCAAUGGCGAAGGCAGGUUUC
rnacentral:rRNA from 1 species